AGGCAAUGGUUUUUGGAUUGGAUUUCUAAUGCUUCGAUGUUCCAUUCGAUGAUAUUUGCAGUGGCUUGUUGGCAUAUAUGGGAGAAUAGAAACUCCUGCGGAAAUGGUGAGUCCAUACCUCAUCUCUUACGUGUAUCUGGAAAGAUCAAAGCUUACAUUGACUUUAUUUUGUUGAACAAUGUCAGUUCUGAAUGCUCCAUCAGGCGUGAGACCUUGACGUCAAUUCAGAAAUGGGCCCCGCCACCGGAGGACCUCAUGCUGAUCAGCAUGGAUGCUGCGAUCUUCUCCGGUACUGCAAAAGCUGGAUAUGGUGCUGUCAUGCGUAAUCAUCUAGGAGUAAUGCAUGCCGCUUGUCGAGGCGUUGUUGAUCAUGUGCAUUGUCCUGAAAUUGCUGAAGCAGAGGCCAUCUGCCAGGCACUUAUGCUUGCUGAAAGCAUAGGAGUUCAGUGUUGUUCUGAUUGCCUCUCACUUGUUAACAAGUUGCAGCAGCAAGGGUUCGAUAGGGCAUCGACAGGUGCCAUUGUUCAUGAUAUUAAGAUGAGAGCCAAAAAAGUUUGUACCUUGUACCUUUAA
rnacentral:rRNA from 1 species